GAUCAGUGAAGAGCCUAUCCCGAGCCUGAUUGCUUGAUGAAAAAUACAUGAAUCUGACUUCUGAGAU
ensembl:snoRNA